GGAUCCAUAAGCUCAAACAAGGAAGAGCGCUCAAACAAAACAAUUGUUUGAGAGGUUGGUGGUUCGAUUCCACCUGGAUUCU